UACGUAGGGGGGCAAGCGUUGUCCGGAUUUAUUGGGCGUAAAGAGCGUGUAGGCGGCCUGACAAGUCUGCUGUGAAAACUCGAGGCUCAACCUCGAGAUGUCGGCGGAAACUGUCUGGCUAGAGUCCGGAAGAGGCGAGUGGAAUUCCUGGUGUAGCGGUGGAAUGCGCAGAUAUCAGGAGGAACACCAAUAGCGAAGGCAGCUCGCUGGGACGGUACUGACGCUGAGGCGCGAAAGCGUGGGGAGCGAACAGG
rnacentral:rRNA from 1 species